rnacentral:rRNA from 1 species
AUUGAACGCUGGCGGCAGGCCUAACACAUGCAAGUCGAACGAGUGGCGGACGGGUGAGUAAUGUCUGGGAAACUGCCCGAUGGAGGGGGGUAACUACUGGAAACGGUAGCUAAUACCGCAUACCAUCGGAGGUGCCCAGAUGGGAGUAGCUAGUAGGUGGGGUAACGGCUCAACUAGGCGACGAUCCCUAGCUGGUCGGAGAGGAUGACCAGCCACACUGGAACUGAGACACGGUCCAGACUCCUACGUGAGGCAGCAGUGGGGAAUAUUGCACAAUGGGCGCAAGCCUGAUGCAGCCAUGCCGCGUGUAUGAAUAAGGCCUUCGUGUUGUAAAGUACUUUCAGCGAGGAGGCGUUACUCGCCGAAGAAGCACCGGCUAACUCCGUGCCAGCAGCCGCGGUAAUUC